rnacentral:rRNA from 1 species
UAGGGAAUCUUCGGCAAUGGACGAAAGUCUGACCGAGCAACGCCGCGUGAGUGAAGAAGGUUUUCGGAUCGUAAAACUCUGUUGUUAGAGAAGAACAAGGACGUUAGUAACUGAACGUCCCCUGACGGUAUCUAACCAGAAAGCCACGGCUAACUACGUGCCAGCAGCCGCGGUAAUACGUAGGUGGCAAGCGUUGUCCGGAUUUAUUGGGCGUAAAGCGAGCGCAGGCGGUUUCUUAAGUCUGAUGUGAAAGCCCCCGGCUCAACCGGGGAGGGUCAUUGGAAACUGGGAGACUUGAGUGCAGAAGAGGAGAGUGGAAUUCCAUGUGUAGCGGUGAAAUGCGUAGAUAUAUGGAGGAAUACCGGUGGCGAAGGCGGCCCCCUGGACAAAGACUGACGCUCAGGUGCGAAAGCGUGGGGAGCAAACAGG